rnacentral:tRNA from 1 species
CACCAGGAAGCUUGCACUCAGCAACAGCCCUUUAAGCUGAAGAAGGGAUUCUUUCCCCCUUGUGA